ACUCACCCGUUGUGUUCACCCCAGCACGUUCUGCUCCAUCAGGACCCGAGCAACUUCGACCUGUCACUGAAAAUCCGGACCCGCACCCCUUUCUUCCCCGCACCUGUAAAAUAAAGCACUGUUUAUUUAUUUUGAAUCUGACUGCUUGUGGUUAUAUUGCUGGUCCACUCACUCCGCCUUGACUCGUGAUA